CAGUCGCCACGGUAAUACAGAGGGUGCGAGCGUUAAUCGGAUUUACUGGGCGUAAAGCGUGCGUAGGCGGCUAAUUGAGUCGGAUGUGAAAUCCCCGAGCUUAACUUGGGAAUUGCAUUCGAUACUGGUUAGCUAGAGUGUGGGAGAGGAUGGUAGAAUUCCAGGUGUAGCGGUGAAAUGCGUAGAGAUCUGGAGGAAUACCGAUGGCGAAGGCAGCCAUCUGGCCUAACACUGACGCUGAGGUACGAAAGCAUGGGGAGCAAACAGGAUUAGAUACCCCUGUAGUCCCUGUCUCUUAUAA
rnacentral:rRNA from 1 species